CACGUCUCGUAGCCCCAUGGUUAAAGUAUUUGAUAGUACUAGAUUUACAAGUCUCAAAAAUCGAAAGUGGAACGAAGCACAUACUAACUUGGAGUUUAUCUUUGAGAUGCAUAUUAAUCUGAAAAUUGAGACAGUCUAUCGUAUUUUGGAGGCGUUUAAUCAAUUUGGUUGAGUGUCGAUUCUCACAUUGCCGACUCACUACUACCUGAACUUGGUGCGCGAGUUCUAUGCCAAUAUUGUUA
rnacentral:lncRNA from 1 species